AAUAUAGAAGUUCUACGUCAAGUAUACUUGACCAUACUUGUGUUCUCGUCUACCCGUUUUGCAUCAUCUUCUAUUGCCAAAGACCAGUUCCAAUACUAAGAACACAAGUACAGAGGAUGGUAAAAAUCCCCGGAUGUUGGUCUUGCCCAGCUCUCAGAUAUCAAGGACACAUCAGUUGCAUCAUCGCCGAAUGAAACCAAUCCCAUGUUUCAAGUACGGUCUUUGCAUUCUUGGUAUUGAGAUUCACCCAGCUCACUUACUCCUGCUGUCGUAUCAGACAAUGAAUUAUGAGGGACUCCACAUAUCACUACAAAUCCCUGGUCCACCAGAGUUUGGUCUGUAGAUGGCAAUCUACUCAUGCAGCAUACAGGAAUUCCCCGAUACCUCCAUGUAUAUCAAGGAACGAGGUUCUGAAUUCAGUUUCAAUCCAGCUUAUUUUGUGUAGCACAUUUUCAUAACGGUACAUUGCCUCAAAGCCCAUUACAUUGUGCCCACCCAGUGCCCCCAGUAAGCAAGCCAGAGGUGACAGUGGCAAGGAAAAACCCCUUAGAAGGAAGAAACCUCUUGAGGAACCAGACUCAAAGGGGGGCCUCCAUCCUCCAGGGGGCGGCAGAGGAAUUCAAAUAAACAAACUGACGAAACCCUAAUUUAUACAGUUCAAAUUUUAAGCUUUGAAUCUAAAUGUGGAGGACAGGCAGGUGAUGGUGCUGCUUCUGGUGGCAGGAUGAUGUAUUUGACUUCACACUGGAUGCUCCAUUUCUGCGCCAUUGGAAUGGAAUUGGAACUGGAAUUUCCCAUAAUGCACUGACUUUAAUUGAGGUCGAGUUGUGAAUUGGACAGUUCCCAAUGGGAUGUCAGAAAAUUGACGUUACUGAUUAACAGCGAUUGCCAAUAAAUGUCACUGGCGAUAAAGGUAAAGCUGAUAUCUUUGGUACUUUGUACAGGCCUUGUUUUCAAAUUUCUUUUUAAACAAACUGAGUGUCUACUAAACAAAUAUGUGGGAGUUAUUUAUUCAAACUCCACAGUCCACUUUCACCUUAUUCUACACACCCUCUUUGUACUGCAGCCCAGAAAGGGUUCAACAGACUGUUGUAAUACAGGCUUCUUUAGCAGUAACCGCUUACAUGUAUUUAACUUGUACUUGUCUAGCGGACACAUUUAUGUGAAGCGAUGUACAAUUGGAGAGGUAGGGUGAGAGACUGCAUUGGGUAAUUGCCUUGCUGAGGGGCCCAACAGUGACAUCACUCUGCUGACCUGCCAAUCACAGGCAUCUUAAUCCAUUGAGCUACACGUCAUCCCCAGUAAAACCAUAACAUUUCUGAAGGUUGAGCGUGAUAUUUCAAGUAAUGCACAGUCCAUUCCACUGCUGUGUACAAAAUGUAUAUAUGCCCAUGUGCUGACCCCAGGCCUGUUUUUCAGUGUCGUUCAAAGGUCUGUUUGUUUAGUGUGAAGGAGACACCCCUGGACAGGCUGAAUAAGGGGACCACAGACCAGUGUCCUCAGUCCUGUUUCUCCCCCCAGCGCUGAGAGGAAGAUGACCCGCCUGCUGGUUCUGGUGCUGGCUUGUGGAGCUCUGCUUAUCUCCACAGAGGCCCAGGAAGAUUACCACACGCUGUCCAAUUUAGUCAAGAGUGGUGUGAGACUGGCAAUUUCAGCUGCUAAUGAAGACAGCAAUUACCAUAUGAAUUUUAUUUCUGUUCCAUUAAAUAAAGAAGUUACAUCAAACUUCAUUACCCUGAGGAUUUACUUAAAACCUACAACCUGUGCAAAAUCCAGUGUGGUAGAUCAUCGGGAUGAAUGUCCAUUUGAGAACAGCAAGCCGCACAUUAACUGCGUGGUUUGCAGCAAGUUCACUGGCGAUACCUUCAAUAAUCCAUUUGUUGACUGCAAGCCAAUCGAGCUGGUUGAUCAGAAUUACAGAAAGAAGUACUGUCAGGUUUAUCGUCCUGGAGGGAAUGGUAUAAAUACGCUGAAGUUUCAUUAGCCGGGAGUGAACUUGACAGGAUGAGCUGCACAGCAAGUCAAUCCGAAGAUGAGCUGGUCGUGUAUUAAGCAGAGUCUGAACAGAAGAAUCUUGUGGCUUAAUCUGUUCUUAUGUUAAUAUCUCAGUAAUUAGUCCCCCACCCUGACCCUCACACACCAUACUUACCUUCCAGGGCACUAUGCCCCUAAUUCCUUGAUAGCCGUGUGCACCAUGACACCAUACCAUCAGUGAUCUUCAUUCGCUGCAUCAGACAUUCAUCACAGUGUCAUGUGAUCCUCAGUAAGCGAAUCGUAUGCGGGCUUAAGAAACUUCACACAUUCACAGCCAGUGACACAUACACUGCCUUCUCAACUCCAGCACAGUGUCAUAAAUCAGAAGUUAACAGGUGUGAGUGAUUCAGGACACACUGGGAAUCCAAAUACUGAUACAAUAUUCAUUACAAACAGGAGGGUCAUUAGUUAGUAAACAGUGCAACAAGUAAUAUAAGGUGGUGCAAACUGUAUUCAAACAAAGCAAACCCAAAGUGCACUGUCCUUUCCUCCCCUGUAAUCUGAGUUCACCAUUACUGCAAUAAAUCGUGCUUCAUUACAGCUCCACAAGUGUGUGGCUUCACUUUUCUCUUAUACUCUUUCUCAAGCUGCACAUCAAAAGCUUUUCAUUCAUAAGUUACUAAUUUUAAAUGCUGUAUUUAAGAGAUUACUAUAAAAAGUUCUGUGUUUAUAACAAAUAAUAAUAAUACCCUCUGGAUAAUACCCUCUGGAUGGGAUGCCAGUCCUUCACAGGGCACAAGGCAGCGGUAUCCUCUGGAUGGGAUGCCAGUCCAUCACAGAGCAUAAGGCAGGGGUACCCUCUGGAUGGGAUGCUAGUCCAUCACAGGGCACAAGGCAGGGGUACCCUCUGGAUGGGGCGCCAGUCCAUCACAGGGCAUAAGGCAGGGGUACCCUCUGGAUGGGAUGCCAGUCUAUCACAGGGCAAAAGACAGGGGUACCCUCUGGAUGGGGUGCCAGUCCAUCACAGGGCAAAAGGCAGGGGUACCCUCUGGAUGGGAUGCCAGUCCAUCACAGGGCAUAAGGCAGGGGUACCCUCUGGAUGGGAUGCCAGUCCAUCACAGGGCAUGAGGCAGGGGUACCCUCUGGAUGGGAUGCCAGUCCAUCACAGGGCAUAAGGCAGGGGUACCCUCUGGAUGGGAUGCCAGUCCAUCACAGAGCAUAAGGCAGGGGUACCAUCUGGAUGGGGUGCCAGUCCAUCACAGGGCACAAGGCAGGGGUACCCUCUGGAUGGGAUGCCAGUCCUUCACAGGGCACAAGGCAGGGGUACCCUCUGGAUGGGAUACCAGCCCAUCACAGGGCACAAGGCAGCGGUACCCUCUGGAUGGGAUGCCAGUCCAUCACAGGGCACAAGGCAGGGGUACCCUCUGGAUGGGAUGCCAGUCCUUCACAGGGCAUAAGGCAGAGGGUACCCUCUGGAUGGGAUGCCAGUCCUUCACAGGGCACAAGGCAGGGGUACCCUCUGGAUGGGAUGCCAGUCCUUCACAGGGCACAAGGCAGGGGUACCCUCUGGAUGGGAUGCCAGUCCAUCACAGGGCACAAGGCAGUGGUACCCUCUGGAUGGGAUGCCAGUCCAUCACAGGGCACAAGGCAGCGGUACCCUCUGGAUGGGAUGCCAGUCCAUCACAGGACAUAAGGCAGGGGUACCCUCUAGAUGGGAUACCAGCCCAUCACAGGGCACAAGGCAGCGGUACCCUCUGGAUGGGGUGCCAGUCCAUCACAGGGCAUAAGGCAGGGGUACCCUCUGGAUGGGGUGCCAGUCCAUCACAGGGCAUAAGGCAGGGGUACCCUCUGGAUGGGGUGCCAGUCCAUCACAGGGCAUAAGGCAGGGGUACCCUCUGGAUGGGGCGCCAGUCCAACACAGGGCACAAGGCAGGGGUACCCUCUUGAUGGGAUGCCAGUCUAUCACAGGGCACAAGGCAGGGGUACCCUCUUCAUGGGAUGCCAGUCCAUCACAGGGCAAAAGGCAGCGGUACCCUCUGGAUGGGGCGCCAGUCCAUCACAGGGCACAAGGCAGGGGUACCCUCUGGAUGGGAUGCCAGUCCAUCACAGGACACAAGGCAGGGGUACCCUCUGGAUGGGAUGCCAGUCCAUCAGAGUGCAAAUGGCAGGUGCACCCCUUGGAUGGGAGACCAUAAUUUCAUAUUUUUUCUUAUACAGUAGACUACACGUUUUUUCAUAAUGUUUGAUGAUCACAUUCUUAACUAUUAAAAUUGUGAUGUUUUGAACUUCUCCUUAACACACUAGUCAACAAUGUAAUACUUUAGAAUUAGAAUUUAGAGAUCAGUGGUCAUUGCUGACACACCACAGCACACAGUGCACAACAAUGAAAUGUGUCCUCUGCAUUUAACCCAUAUGUGACAUAGCAGGGGGCAGCUAAUUCAGUGCCUGGGGGCGGUACCUUGCUCAGGAUAUUUCAGUGGUGCUGUGCUGGUUGGGGAUUCGAACCUGCAAUUUUUCAAUAACAACUGCACUUCCCUGAGCAUCGAUCCACCAAUGCCCACAGAUAGGGAUCAUACCCCUCCACCAAUAAGGGGCUCAUUAAUAUAUUUGGGAACGAGAAUUAUGACUUUGUAGUUCAGUUAAAAAUAUUUAAUAUAGGAUAAUUUUUUUGCAUAGUACCGUUCUCAGUUCAUUGCAUAAAAUACUAUGCCACCCUAAUUCCCACUUCUACGCCAGCCCUCCACGGCACAAUGCUGUAUUCUUAAUUACAGUAGAUUACACAUUUUUCGAUAAUGUUUUAGGAUCACAUUCUUAACUAUUAAAAUCAUAAUGCUUUGAACUUCCCAUUAACGCACUAGUCAGCUGUUUAUUUCAUUGCCAGUUUGAUGUUUACGCAUUUCUACAGCCAACGUAAUACUUUAUCGUAUUUGGAGAAGAAAAUAAUGAAUUUGUCAUUCAGUUAAAAGCACUAAAUAUCGUUGUAAUUCUCUUGCAUAGUACCGUUCUCAGUUCAUUGCAUAAAAUGCUAUACCAAUCUAAUUUACAUUUGUACUUAAUUCAACGCGGGUAUUUAUAAUGCCAGAUUAACUGACACAGUAAUUGUCGUAUUUAUCAUGAUCUAGGUUAAUACUGCUGUUAGUUUCGGUUCAUGUUACCAUUAGUUUAACUUGCAUAAAUUUAAAUUUGACCUGUUUCUAGUCGUACAAUAUAAUGGGUGGGUAUCUGUAAAAAAAAAAAAAAAAAUCAAUUGGACAACAUCAUUAGAGGGCUGCAGGGAAACGGGAAAACCUUAAUACCGGUAACAGCAGUGAAAUUGCUCGUAUAUGCAUAUAAUUAUAUCUGCUAUUUUAAUUUAAAGUCAUUUUGUUCUCUUAAAUUAUUUGUUCUCACCCAACACCGCCUGGUGGCAGUGUAGCCUAGACUAUACUAGGCUACUGAAGAACAGUUUGUUUGAAUACGCGAGAAAAGCACUUCUCUCAAAGGAAAUGGAAAAGGAGUAAGUUUUUCACUCUGAGAGGAAGAUGACCCGCCUGCUGGUUCUGGUGUUGGCUUGUGGAGCUCUGCUUAUCUCCACAGAGGCCCAGGAUGAUUACCACAGUCUCCCUGCACUCUACAAGACGGCCAUUAAACUCGCAGUCGAAAAAGCUCAUCAAGGAACCAGUCAGCACAUGAAUUUCUAUAACAUCCAGGGCCGUCCAAAGAUCAGCAAUGACUAUAUUGACAUUGAGAUUCUCUUGAGAGCAACAAACUGUGCAAAGUCAGCUGAACCAGACCAUCGGGAUGACUGCGUGUUUAUGACCAACAGACCAUUCAUUAACUGUAGAGUUUGCAGCAGACGGUCUGGUAAUGAUCUUACGGAUCCAUUCAUUGACUGUACACCACAAAAGAGAGUGGAUGAAGACAAACGAAGUAAUAUGUGUCCUUCUGAUAAACGUCUUAUCGGAUCUGACACUGCCAUGACUGUCUGGGCUGUUUCUGAUGGCUGAUGGUCCUGCAACGUGGACCAGAGGAGGAAACUGGGAGGGAAAAUGCUUUGCUUUGUUAUAUAGCUGAAAUCAGGAUGUAAUACAGCAUUUAAAUUUUUCUUAUCCAGUUGCAGUUAACCAGAUGAUCUACUUAACACCAUUUACAUUGACAUUUCAUUUGCACUCUUACCAACAGACCGAUUGUUGAAAUGUUGCAGUGUGCUGUCAGCAAAAAUGUACUGAUUAAGGUCCCUCUGGCAGAUAGCUGAGGAAAUAUUAUUUGCAUCCAAUUCCUUUUUAACACUUUGUUGACUAAUUUUACCCAGAUGUACUCAAGAUAUAAAUGGAUAAGUUUCUAUUUUCAUUCUCUUUGUUUCUACUGGGGGUAACAGCUGUACAAAAUCAACAAUGUGAUUCAUUGUUCAGUCAUAACAAUAACAACAGUCUAUUAAAACAAUUUGUAAUGUUUCAUUUGCCAUCACAUUCAACAAUAAAUUUCAAUGUCAACCUGGAAUUGAAAAAGAAACAUCUCAAGGUGAAAUCACAUAAUGUUCCAGCUGAGGUUGGCCGUUCUUCAUGCGUUAUAACAUAAAUGUUAACAGUCAGUGUUGCAAAAGUCAACAAGAUAUUGAAUCCAUAGAGGGGGGUCACCCUAAAAGUUGCCAACGCUCUGUUGACUCAGUAACUUAAAAAUUACAAACUAACUUUAGUAUUAACCCCAGCAGAAAAGCUGUGUGCCGAGAGCAUCAUGGAAUGGGGUCACAUGGCUGAAGAGCUGUAUGCAAGCCAAACAUCACCCAGAGCAAUGCCAAACGUUGCAUGGAGUGGUAAAAAGCACACCGUCACUGGACUCUGGAGCACAGGAAAUAUGGAGUGAUGAAUCACGCUUCUCUGCCUGGCAGUCUGACGGACCAAUCUGGGUUUGGCAGAUGCCAGGAGAACGUUACCUGCCUGACUGCAUUGUGCCGACUGUGAAGUUUGGAAGAGGAGGGAUAAUGCCAUUCAUUAACU